rnacentral:rRNA from 1 species
GACAGAGGCCUCGAGCGUUAGGCGGAAUCACUGGGCUUAAAGCGCGCGUAGGCGGCCCGGUAAGUCCGUUGUGAAAGUCAAAGGCUCAACCUUUGAACGCCGAUGGAUACUGCCGGGCUAGAGUCCGGAAGAGGCGAGUGGAAUUCCUGGUGUAGCGGUGGAAUGCGCAGAUAUCAGGAGGAACACCAAUAGCGAAGGCAGCUCGCUGGGACGGUACUGACGCUGAGGUGCGAAAGCGUGGGGAGCAAACAGG